UGGGGAAUUUUGCACAAUGGGGGAAACCCUGAUGCAGCGACGCCGCGUGAUUUAGAAGGCCUUCGGGUUGUAAAAAUCUUUUCUAUGGGAAGAAAAUGACAGUACCAUAGGAAUAAGGACCGGCUAAUUACGUGCCAGCAGCCGCGGUAACACGUAAGGUCCGAGCGUUGUCCGGAAUCAUUGGGCGUAAAGGGUACGUAGGCGGGUAAGCAAGUUAGAAGUGAAAUCCUAUAGCUCAACUAUAGUAAGCUUUUAAAACUGCUCAUCUUGAGGUAUGGAAGGGAGAGUGGAAUUCGUAGUGUAGCGGUGAAAUGCGCAGAUAUUAGGAGGAAUACCGGUGGCGAAGGCGACUUUCUGGCCAUAACCUGACGCUGAGGUACGAAAGCGUGGGUAGCAAACAGG
rnacentral:rRNA from 1 species